CACAAAAUACAGAUAACCAACAGGGUGGUUAAGAUGGUCCUUGCUCACUAAAAAUGGGUGGAUGCCUUGGCCAGAUGGCGAUGGCAGUGUGGGCUCUUCACUGACUGGUCUGCGUCAGAAUCUUGGUUUCCUCACAUAAGAAUUAAACAUAGAUUGUGGAGAAUUCUGUUUCUCCUGCAAGUGUUCCAAGUUCUAUCUUUAACAUUCUCUCUUUGCUUCCUGUAAUCCUGCAGAUCCAGGCAAAGGCUGGACCAUCAGAGGGGCUCUGAUGUUGCAUGCUGUGUGUGAAGCAUCUUCUGUUUCACCCUGGCAGUCAUGAUUCUCUUUGAGCUGCAGUUUGUUUUCUGUCUCUGGAAGUUCAUGGCAGAGAUUAGCCCUGAGCCAUCAUCUGCCGCCAAUCCUCCUCUUUUUUGCUGAGGAAGACUGCACCUGAGCUAACAUCUGUGCCCAUCUUCCUCUACUUUACAUGUGGGAUGCCUACCACAGCAUGGUUUACCAAGCGGUGCCAUGUCCACACCCGGGAUCUGAACCAGCGAACCCCGGGCCGCCAAAGCAGAAUGUGUGCACUUAACUGCUGAGCCACUGGACCGGCCCCCAAACAUCAUUCUUUUUAAAAAAUGUCAAUUAUUAUGUAUUUAUUCAUUCAGAAAAUCUAUAACUUUGUCAGAUCCCCUUACCUUCAUCCCAAACUAUAUUUUUAUUUGAAUAACAUUAAAUAUACAAAUACAUGUCAGAGAACUAAAUCAGUACAAUUUUUAGUUUUCAUCUAAGAAUAUUGAAUUAUUCUUUAACUUUAAGGAAGGACAUUAUAUCUAGGGAUGUUCAAUUUCAUAUUUGAAGUUUGGGCUCAUUUUUAUGUCUAUCAAGAUAAUGUUUAAUCUUAUUUUAACCAUCCACCUAUUUUAUAUUGGGUGUGUAACCCAAUCUGCUUAGCUUCAACAGUUUUGACGAGGAUGUCUUUACGUGUUCUGCAAAAUAAUUGUUAAAAGUGUUAGCGGGACAGAGCCAUGGAUACAAAGUCAUAUGAUGUAUGAAAUUUAGUGGCAAAGAUUUGGGAUCUAUUUAAGAGGUUCAAGUAAUCUCUAACUCUGUUU
rnacentral:lncRNA from 1 species